rnacentral:rRNA from 1 species
UACAGAGGUCCCAAGCGUUGUUCGGAUUCAUUGGGCGUAAAGGGUGCGUAGGCGGCGCGGUAAGUCGGGUGUGAAAUCUUGGAGCUUAACUCCGAAACUGCAUUCGAUACUGCCGUGCUUGAGGACUGGAGAGGGGACUGGAAUUUACGGUGUAGCGGUGAAAUGCGUAGAUAUCGUAAGGAAGACCAGUGGCGAAGGCGGGUCUCUGGACAGUUCCUGACGCUGAGGCACGAAGGCCAGGGGAGCAAACGGG